GGGCCUUGGCGGCAGCUACCAUGCAGUCGAGCGGUAGAGAGAAGCUUGCUUCUCUUGAGAGCGGCGGACGGGUGAGUAAUGCCUAGGAAUCUGCCUGGUAGUGGGGGAUAACGUUCGGAAACGGACGCUAAUACCGCAUACGUCCUACGGGAGAAAGCAGGGGACCUUCGGGCCUUGCGCUAUCAGAUGAGCCUAGGUCGGAUUAGCUAGUUGGUGAGGUAAUGGCUCACCAAGGCGACGAUCCGUAACUGGUCUGAGAGGAUGAUCAGUCACACUGGAACUGAGACACGGUCCAGACUCCUACGGGAGGCAGCAGUGGGGAAUAUUGGACAAUGGGCGAAAGCCUGAUCCAGCCAUGCCGCGUGUGUGAAGAAGGUCUUCGGAUUGUAAAGCACUUUAAGUUGGGAGGAAGGGUUGUAGAUUAAUACUCUGCAAUUUUGACGUUACCGACAGAAUAAGCACCGGCUAACUCUGUGCCAGCAGCCGCGGUAAUACAGAGGGUGCAAGCGUUAAUCGGAAUUACUGGGCGUAAAGCGCGCGUAGGUGGUUUGUUAAGUUGGAUGUGAAAUCCCCGGGCUCAACCUGGGAACUGCAUUCAAAACUGACUGACUAGAGUAUGGUAGAGGGUGGUGGAAUUUCCUGUGUAGCGGUGAAAUGCGUAGAUAUAGGAAGGAACACCAGUGGCGAAGGCGACCACCUGGACUAAUACUGACACUGAGGUGCGAAAGCGUGGGGAGCAAACAGGAUUAGAUACCCUGGUAGUCCACGCCGUAAACGAUGUCAACUAGCCGUUGGAAGCCUUGAGCUUUUAGUGGCGCAGCUAACGCAUUAAGUUGACCGCCUGGGGAGUACGGCCGCAAGGUUAAAACUCAAAUGAAUUGACGGGGGCCCGCACAAGCGGUGGAGCAUGUGUUUAAUUCGAAGCAACGCGAAGAACCUUACCAGGCCUUGACAUCCAAUGACUUUCUAGAGAUAGAUUGGUGCCUUCGGGAACAUUGAAACAGGUGCUGCAUGCUGUCGUCAGCUCGUGUCGUGAGAUGUUGGAUAAGUCCCGUAACGAGCGCAACCCUGUCCUUAGUUACCAGCACGGUCAUGGUGGGCCUUCUAAAGGGAACUGCCGGUGACAAACCGGGAAGAA
rnacentral:rRNA from 1 species